AAUAUUGCGCAAUGGAGGCAACUCUGACGCAGCCAUGCCGCGUGCAGGAAGAAGGCGCUAAGCGUUGUAAACUGCUUUUAAACGGGAAGAAACCCCGGGACGUGUCCCGGGUUGACGGUACCGAAGGAAUAAGCACCGGCUAACUUCGUGCCAGCAGCCGCGGUAAUAGGGAGGGUGCAAGCGUUAUCCGGAUUCAGUGGGUAUAAAGGGUGCGUAGGCGGAACAAUAAGUCAGCGGAGAAAGCGGGCAGCUUAACUGAAGAAUUGCCGUUGAUACUGUUGUUCUUGAGUACGAGGGAGGUGGGCGGAAUGUGCCGUGUAGCGGUGAAAUGCUUAGAUAUAGCACACGAACACCGAUAGAGAAGACAGCUCACGAAGACAGAAACUGACGGUGAGGCAAGAAAGGGGGGGGAACAAACAGGAUUAGAUACCUUGGUCGUCCACGCAAUAAACGAUGAUCACUCGUGAUUGGCGAUACACUGUCAGUGACGAAGCGAAAGCGAUA
rnacentral:rRNA from 1 species